UGCCUUCUCCACGCCGUAACUCUUAUCUUCUUCAUCUCCCACCUUUCGACUCCCAACUCUUCCAUUUCUCAUCUCUUCCAAACCGUUUCAAUGAUUAACUUCAUGAGUCCGUUUCAAGGAUUAACUUCACGGUUAAUUGCUCUUAUCAAUGGAUUCGUUUAAGCUUCAUCUCUGUUUUCCUAUUUAUAGGACUCUUUUCGUAUCUAAUUUCAUUGAAACCGGAACACAGUUCAUGGUAUGAUUUAUUGCCGAGAAGCUCUGAAAUUGCAGGCCUUCCUUGACAUGGCAGAUGAUGAGGAUAUUCUUGAAGGAUAUGUUGACGCGGAACGAAGUCACCGACACUGCAAAAAAAAUUUAGCCUACGCGUUCUUUUGAUCUAGAAGGAGAUAUGUCUAAUGGGGAGUGUAGACCAUCACUGGAUGGAGAUUAGACCCCAAAUGGUCAAUUUGCAACUAAGAGUGGUGACCUAGACUGUCCUGAGGUUGGUGAGCUACGUUGGUCAAAGAAAUCCUCUGUGGCCGCAUAUACAAAUUUAGAUGAAAACAAAAUUAGUUGGGAAAAAGAGGAGGCUUUGAUCCUUACAUUGAUUUCAGUUGCGCGAACAUUGAUUCUAAAUUCACUGCGAGAAGCACAAUGCAGUGUAGAAGAAGAUAUACUUCUGUGUGAUUAUGAUCCCUGAAGAAGAUGCACUUCUGUGUGAGAUGUCUUAGCUUGGAAACACUGAUCUGGGAACUCUAUGACAGAUGGCUCGAGCAAUAAAGAUUUACUUUGUUGAAGUAUGAAGAUCAGACCACACCAGAAAUUUGAAGUUGCUAGAGUCUAAGGUGUGAACGGAUUCUAUGGAGAGGAGAACGAAUAGAAAUUUCUUCUCAGAUCACAGACCGGUUUGUGCAAUAAUUGCAAUAGAAGUUGAUGUGAAGAGUCUGAAAAAAGGUAGGUUCAGGAAGUUUAUCCCUGUGAAGCUGCAAGAUUGGUUGAAGAUUGCCCUCCACAAAAGUAUAGUUUUGACUAAGAUUGUCGGUGUUCUUUUUCGAGAACGAAAUAUAUGAUUUGGAGAAGUAUUUUUUUUCUUCAUGGUAUAUAUAUAUAUAUAUAUGCUUUAUUGUAAUUAGAUGAGAUCAGUUUACAUAUGGAGUUAAAAUCGUAUUGGCUGCUA